rnacentral:lncRNA from 1 species
CCGCACCUCUUGUCUGGAUCUCCAGGGUUUUUUCGGGGAAGUCCCCUUUGGGUGGGCUUCCUUGUGACCCGAAUUGGCCUGUAAAGGCCGGAUUCUUCAAGCCUUCCAGAUGGUUUGGAGCGAGAGGAAGUUCUUCUGGCUUAAUAAAGACAACCUAUUCUCCGCGAAUGCGUCGGCAUUGACGGAGCCGUGGCUGGAGCUGUUUACCUUACCCAUUGAUCAAGACUGAUUCAUCCCAGGAACACAGGCUGGAGGAAAGACAUUUCUGGACAUUGGAGUAGAUUCUGGCAUAAGGUUCACCCAUCCUGCCACAGCCAGUGCCUUUCAUUUGACUGUUUCCCUCCGGCUGUUGGCGUUCGCGGUGGGGACUGCCGGCGGGUGGGUUUGGUGAGCAUUCUGCGUAAACUGGAGUUGGAGCUGUGUGGCUGAGGGAAGGGGCCUUCUUAGCUCAGAGCAGCCUGAGGGUGUCUGCCCUGAAGUGAAGGCUGCUGCUUCCAGGAGCUGAGAGCAGCUGGUACCAAUGCUGGGAACAGCCCCACUUCAGGCUGCGCGGGCCUGGUGUGGCUGCUGUCUCUCUGUGUCAUUUAGACUUUCUGAACCUUGUCGACUUGACCCGUCUGUAGAUCUGGGAAGCCUUCCUUCUCUGCCCAUGAUAGUGAAGCUAAUAAACCUGAAGUCCAUAGUAUUCUUGAAAGAAUGAAGGUACUAAAAUAAUAAAUUUAGAUUUCUUUCGUGACAGAAGUUCUUUCUGUUACCAGCCUAGUAGUCUGAUAAUGGCAACCAGAAAUCAAGCCCAGGGAGACUCUGAAGGCUGCGGUGAGGCGGGCUUGUAUGGAGGUGGGAGAAGGAAUGUCCCUUUUCGUAGUGGGACUCUGUUUAUUUCUACGCCAUCGCUCCCUUUUUCCUGAGUGGAUUGUCACCUUUCCGCUCCCUUUUCUGGAGACAGAGAAGGCACGGGCAGUUUUGUUUCCAUAACAGUCCAUAUUCCUGCUGCAGUGCUUUCUUCAGAAUAUUCUUUCAGGUGAGGUUCUGGACUGUGAGAACAACCAACCAUUUUCCUGUUGGUCCUACACUCUCGCCGAGUGCCCCACGUACAGCAGGUGCUGUGUCGUAGAGACCAUUGAACAGAGCUGGCGCUGGGCUGCGGGGAGCAGCCUCUGCUUGACACGGCCACGCUGAGCUCCUCAGGAGCCGUGCACUGGGGGCGCAAGGGAGAUGCCACGGGCCCCUCCUGCACAAGGGGCCGGGUCCCAGCGCUGCCUCCACUUAGGGGAUAAGUGCCUUUUCUAAGACAAUUCUCAGAGCCAUGUUUAAAUUCUUUUCUUAUUGCUUGCAUAGUAAUUGGCUGCUAGCGCCUAGCUGAUAGAGUUGGGAGGAUUUAAAUGAGGUAAUCCAAGUUAUGCUCUUAACACAGCUUCUGGCGUGUAAGUGCUUAAUAUAAGUGUUCGCUGUUAUACUGGAAAGAACGCUCAGUUCCUUGAUUUAGAUGUGGAGAAAAAUAAUUUUACUAAGCACUGUAUUCUGCGACCCCAUUUUGCCAAGCUGUUGAAAUAUGGUCCUGUUUCCUUGGAACUGGGUCUGCACUGCAGGGUGCUGAUGCAGCGCCAGGUGUGGGGGGACAAUGAACCUCUGAGGCAUCUGCUGACCCGGGUUCAGGAUCUGUGACGCUUCUUUCCUGUGCCGUUGUCCCCUUUAGACCUGGAGGGCUCUCUUGACCACUGCCCUUUCACAGUUGAGGUCAUGGAAGGCAUUCUGUGGCCUUUUUGCCACCGUGGAGACGGGCGACGUGGGGGCAGGAACCCCAGUCUCUGGGGCCAUGUUGGCGCUGAUUGCCUGGAUGACCUUGAAGCCAUGGGCUCUUUAGGAGUGAGCUGCUUCCUGGGUGUGGGGGCAGGUGCCCUUAGGUCUCAGACCCACACACCUUGGGUUUGGCUACUCCUUGCACCUCUGGGAGCAGAGUUCACAGCCCCGUUGUUAGUGCUUGCCUGCGUGUGUGCACGUGUGUAGAUGGGUGUUUAGGGAGAGUGUCCACCCUCAUCAUGGUCAUCCUGACCCUCAGACAUCUUGUCCAAAUUACCCUGAGAGCUUUGGGUUUAAAAACCAAAGCCACAAACUCAGGGCCAUUUCUGUUUUCCUCCUUGUUUUAUCC